ACGUACAAAUUUACUUCACACUCUUCGUCUACUCUUUGUUGUUAACCCUAUUACCAUAAACUCAGGGGCCAAUAUGACUUCAUGACAUCCAGCAAAGGCUCUUCUAAAGAAGUCUGUCUUGGGAAAGAUUUAAUGGAUGGGUUUUCAGUGAAAUUGGUUUUCUAUAGACAAAUCAAUUAAGGGACCUAUUAAUACAUGGAAAGUGAUGAGAUUGAGAACAUUAUUAGAUUUUCUGCUUAUCAUCUUUCAGAGGUUGAUAUCCAGGUCUCCAUCUUGCCCAUGUCCGCUAGUAGUUUUUUGCUUUUCAUUGUGCUGGUGAGUGUGUUGAAAAAAAAAAAGAGGUUUUUA
rnacentral:misc_RNA from 1 species